rnacentral:rRNA from 1 species
GUGGGGAAUUUUGGACAAUGGGCGCAAGCCUGAUCCAGCAAUGCCGCGUGCAGGAAGAAGGCCUUCGGGUUGUAAACUGCUUUUGUACGGAACGAAACGGUCCGGGUUAAUACACUGGGCUAAUGACGGUACCGUAAGAAUAAGCACCGGCUAACUACGUGCCAGCAGCCGCGGUAAUACGUAGGGUGCAAGCGUUAUUCGGAAUUACUGGGCGUAAAGCGUGCGCAGGCGGUUUUGUAAGACAGGCGUGAAAUCCCCGGGCUCAACCUGGGAAUUGCGCUUGUGACUGCAAGGCUGGAGUGCGGCAGAGGGGGAUGGAAGUCCGCGUGUAGCAGUGAAAUGCGUAGAUAUGCGGAGGAACACCGAUGGCGAAGGCAAUCCCCUGGGCCUGCACUGACGCUCAUGCACGAAAGCGUGGGGAGCAAACAGGAUUAGAUACCCCAGUAGUCC